CGCGGGGUGGAGCAGUCUGGUAGCUCGUCGGGCUCAUAACCCGAAGGUCGUUGGUUCAAAUCCUUCCCCCGCAACCA
rnacentral:tRNA from 1 species